rnacentral:rRNA from 1 species
UACGAAGGGGGCUAGCGUUGCUCGGAAUCACUGGGCGUAAAGGGUGCGUAGGCGGUUCUUUAAGUCAGGGGUGAAAUCCUGGAGCUCAACUCCAGAACUGCCUUUGAUACUGAAGAUCUUGAGUUCGGGAGAGGUGAGUGGAACUGCGAGUGUAGAGGUGAAAUUCGUAGAUAUUCGCAAGAACACCAGUGGCGAAGGCGGCUUACUGGUCCGGUUCUGACGCUGAGGCGCGAAAGCGUGGGGAGCAAACAGG